rnacentral:rRNA from 1 species
GCCGCGGUAAUACGGGGGGCGCAAGCGUUGCUCGGAAUCACUGGGCGUAAAGCGUACGCAGGCGGCGCGUUAAGUCAGGGGUGAAAUCCCGCAGCUCAACUGCGGAACUGCCUUUGAUACUGGGUAUCUCGAGUAUGGAAGAGGUGAGUGGAAUUCCGAGUGUAGAGGUGAAAUUCGUAGAUAUUCGGAGGAACACCAGUGGCGAAGGCGGCUCACUGGUCCAUUACUGACGCUGAGGUGCGAAAGCGUGGGGAGCAAACAG